AACUAGUAUAAUUUUAUUCAAUUUAAUUUGUUUCCAAUUUAUUUUACACCUUAAAAGUAUCAAAAGGGAAACUUUAGAAUUUUUUUAAAAAAAUAAAACCCUAAAUUAUGCUAUAAGUACCAACACUUGACAUUAAAAGAGGGACGAAAAAAAUAUCAAUCACAAUCGCUAUACAUCAAACUUUCAAACAAUUUCACUUCAAAAAGCUUGAGAAAAAAAAAAGUUAAAAAUUGAAAAAUACACCGGAAGAAGAAUACUGGUUUUUCUUCAUGAGAGUCAUUUCAUUCUUGUCUAUCCCUUCCUUGUCUCUUGCUUGAUGACAUCUUCAUCUCUCACAUAUCUCUCCAACCUCACUCACACAAAAAUAUAAACUAAAAAAAACUGAAGAAAAUUCUUCUUCUUCGUGACCUUCACCAGACAUAACCACAUAU
rnacentral:lncRNA from 1 species